GCUGCCUGGGUCGGCUGGGCCUGUGGGCCUGCGUCCGACAGCGCGCGGCCGUGCUUUCUAAGCGGGCUCGGCAGCACCAGACUUCACCGGCCCGGCGCGGGGCUCACAAGUGCUCGCACUCCCUGCGGCCGGCGCGCUGACCGGAGCCUCUGGGUCUCGCACGCAGCAGCUGCAGACGCUGCCCGGCGCGGUGGGGCUGUGAGCAAAACGGCCCGCCGGUGUGGUUGCCCAGACUGUGCUGGGCCCUCCUAGGUGGAUGGCCCUGCCCCAGCCUAACUUCUGUACCCCAGCAUAACCUCCAAAGUAACAGCCGUGCCCUGGGAGCCUGUUCAACACUGAACAUAUCCCACAAUAACACUGUUCCAGCGUCGCUGGUAAAAAGCAGAAAUGGCUUCGCUGGAGGCAUCGACAAAUCUAAUGCAGUAACCUCAUUUUACAGAAGAGAACUCUAAGAGGAUAACUAACUUGGCCAAGAUCACAUGAUGUUUCUGGAUGAGAUUAGCAUUCAAAUUCGUGGACUCAUUAAAGUAGAUGGCUCUCUCCAAUAUGGGUGGGCAUCAUCCAAUCUGUUGAAGGCGUGAAGAGAACAAGAGAAGGAGGAAGGAAGAAUUCACCUUUUUUCUUGCUGCCCACCUGCUUGGGCUGGGACAUUGCAUCUCACCUUCUCCAGCCUUUGGAUGAGGAUUUACACCCUGGUUCUCAGGCCUUCAGGCUCUAACUGGAGCUACACUAUCAACUUUCCUGGGCCUCCAGAUUGCAGAUGGUGGAUCACGGUACUUUUUAGCCUCCAUCAUAAUAUGAGAAAAAAGAGGCACAGUGAAGCUAAAUAUAUUGGCUAAAGAUCACAAAGCUAAGUUGAAAUUUUUCAAGAUGAAAAGUUGCUAAAGAAAGAGAAAGGGAAGCGGUUUGCUCCAGUAUUCCUCUUUCCACCUUCCCACUGACUGGGAAGCGGCGGUUAGCAGAGCCACAGUCUUGGAUUAGAGAUAAGAGGGACAUGUUGAGGAAGGUGGAGUCUCCCCCACAGCCCUGGACCAGGCUCCAGUGCCAACAAAAGCCAAGAAGAACCUCUGGAGCAAUCAGUCUAAAUUAGUUGAUAACGUCUUCCAGGAGACCUACGGCCAUCCUACUGAUAUGAACCAGAUCAUACCUGCCCUGAUGGGAUGCCAGAGAAAGACUGCUGCAAGGGAUCCUCUGGAAACAGAACAGAGGGAAGAAGAUACCUUCCCUGAAGCCCAGAUGUUCCAGAAGCCUGCGCCUCAUUCACAAAGUCACCCCAAAAAUGCCCUAGAGUUUGGAGUUUUGAAGAAGCGGGAAGAAGGCCUGAGUAAGGGCCUGGGAACCAAGUUAGAUCCUACUUCAGCAUCAGCACAUGCCAGCGAUGGUGCACACAGGUGGAGAGCGGCCUGCCCGUCUUUUCCAUGGUGCCCACAGACCCAUUUAGGAUGAAAGAUCAGAAAAUUCUCUCCAUGUCACCGCUUCUGAAACAUGUGAAUAUUAAUAUUUGGUGCCUAAAAGGCCAUGGCAAAUUUUCAUUGGUUUUAUCUUAUUCAUGAUUAUAGAGUUGAAAGAAUACAUAUUCCCAUGGGGAUCAAUGAAGACAUUCUCAUUUUGAAUGAAGUAGAAUAUAAGUUGUAAAGAUAUAGAAUUUUCCUGAACUGAACCUUGAACCAAAAAUCCCCUCAAUUAACCUGGAACUAAACACAGUCCCUGAAGAUAACAAGGAGUUUCAGGAUGCCACAGGGCUGUCUGUGCAGUAUGGGGCUUCUUGCUCUAUCUCUGGUAUCUGAGGCAGAUAGGCUACUCAGGCCCCUCUCUGGUCUCAAGGUGGGCUGGCUGAGAUGUCAGUUUCUUCCUCAGUGACAGCUUGGGUACAGUAUGUGUAAACUGAUUGUCAGCUGAGCUGAAGGGACUCUGCCCAUAUUGGAGUGUUCUACAAGAAGAGGUGUCAAACCUAAAGGUCUAAAAUUACUAUGAAAGGAGUAUUGGAAACCACUGGGACAAUUGUGAUCACAACUGGUGGUAGCCUUCUCGUUUGGGUGAGAAAGACAGAAAGGAGGAAGAUGUGUUAGUCAAGGUUCUCUAGAGGGACAAAACUAAUAGGAUAUAUGUAUAUAUGAGAGGGAGUUUAUUAAGGAGAAUUGACUCACUUGAUCACAAGGUAAAGUCCCAAGAUAGGCUGUCUGCAAGUUGAGGAGCAAGGAAGUCAUUGGUGGAUUGUUCUGGGUACCAAAACCUCAAAAGUAGGGAAAUCGACAGUGCAGCCUUCAGUCUGUGGUCAAAGGCUCGAGGGGCCCUGGCAGACCACUGGUGUAAGUCCAAGAGUCCCAGAAGCUGAAGAACUUGGAGUCUGAUGUUUGAGGGCAGGAAGCAUCCAGCACAGGAGAAAGACGGAUGCUGGAAGACUUAGCAAGUCUGUUCUUUCCAAUUUCUUCUGCCUGCUUUUAUUCUAGCCAUGCUGGCAGCUGAUUAGAUGGUGCCCUCCCAAAUUGAGGGUGGCUGUGCCUCUCCCAGUCCACUGACUCAAAUGUUAAUCUCCUUUGGCAACACCCUCACAGACACACCCAGGAACAAUACUUUGCAUCCUUCAUUCCAAUCAAGUUGACACUCAAUAUUAACCAUCACAGAAGGAGAAUUUCAGGCUGAGUCCAAACACUAUGGCCCCAGCCCCAGCUUCCCCUUUCUGGGUUGAAUAACCAGACUGAGCCUAAGAAAAGGAAAAGAGUUGACUUUCUCCCAAAAGGCCUGCAGCGGGUUAGAAAGCAAUGGUUUGGGGACCAUACUGAGUGCCUAGGAUGCUCUGGACCACAAAGCUUGAAGUCAAAUUGUUCAUGCACUUGUUUCAUGAUAGGAAGAGAGAGAGAGAGAGAGAGAGAGAGAGAGAAAUUUCCUUUCCUUGAAGAAUGGCAAAACACGUCUCUUGUUCUGGGGGCUAUAUCUUGAAGGGUAUCUGAUCUCCCCCUCAUGGGAGGAACUAGAAUGCCCUAAGGCAGCCGUGGCUCCUGGAGCUGAGAGAUCUUUCUGACACUUUGUGAGAGCUGCAAGGCUAAGUCUGGAGCCAGAAAAGUCCAUGUGGACAAGUGCAGAGCAAGCAGAUCUGAGACACAUGUGGGAGCAAGCUGGACAUGUCCAAAAGUCAGAGGAAGCAAGAGCAGACAUGCAUGAGCAGGCAGAUGAGGCUGGUGCCCAGGCAGCAGGCUGAGGCUCUGGCUGGGCUUUGGAUGCUCCUGAGAGUCCAGUUAGAGACCAGUGAGCAAACCCACAGUGAACUCUUAUUCCUCACGCAGCAGGACGAGGGAUUAAGCACAAAGCCUUAAAGGUCUGAGUGUCUCUUUAUCCUGACCUCAGGAAAGAGAGGCAAGUAUCAUGUUUCUAAAAGUCUGAGAAGUCUUCACAUGACAGCCUACACCAAAAGAACUCAAAUGCACAUCCACUGCAUACACGCAUGUGUGCACACAUAUACAUGUGUACACAUGCAUGCCCACACACAACCCUCUGGAAGAGGAAGUAAAGAGACUUUAUGUUUUCAGCCCCUCUUGAGGAAACUUAAACUAAGUCUUUCUGUGGGGUUAGUGGUGGAGACAGAGAGGGUCUGGGGUCACCGAGGCCGAGGUGGCUGGACCCAGAGGGUAGAGCUGAGGGGAUCCCCUGAGACUGGGAAGAUGGAGCAGAAGCAGAUGGCAGAUGGCAGCAGGUGAGAGCAGACUGGAUUUCUCCUAAAUCACCAGAUCCAGCCAACCUUUCUUUCCUUAGGGACACCUCUAGAUCCCAUUCCAAAUGAACUCUUUCUCUGACCUUUCACCUCAAUUCAGAAUUUGGGAAAUUUAGCCAUGAUCUUAGGAACACAGAGGCUUGAAACAAUCUUUUCUAACCACCCGUUUGUUCAGACUGUGUAAGUUCUGCUUCUGCAUCCAGUGUCAACACCCAAGAACCAUUUUAAAGGGGAGCCAUCCUUUGAAAUUAAACUUCUUUUAAUAAUAAAGACAGAUUUCAGGGUUGACAUAAAAGAUAGCCACAGUAAAGCCAAUCCUCCAGUGUAUAACAUUUUUCAAAGUUUCCUUCCUCUUCAUUGCUGGUGUUCAUGUACAGUCCAGAGUUAGUCUACAUUAAAUUAUAGAUUGUUUUCAGCAAUAAUGCAAACAUUUGGAAGCCUUCAAACUCUCUGAUAACUAACUUCUACAUUCUCUCUGCUAUUAUUAUAUAGAAAGGGAAAUUUUACCUGAUGCUGUUAAAGUCCUCACGAACAUAGUGAUCCGAAUUGGCUGAAGUGGAAAACUAAAUGUUAGCUGAUUUUCAAAACAAGAUUUCCACUCUGAAUUCCCAUUUUUCACAUGUGAUCAUAUGCCUUGUUGUGAAGUUGAACUAAAAAGAAACUCCAUGCCCACUGGCUUAAUGCUAGAAGAUAAUCUACAGCAUAGUAAUUUCUUAGACUUCACUUUAUUAGCCACUAAACUUGGAAUGAUUAUUUCUAUGUUCAAUUAUUAAGUCUAUAUCUCCAUUUCUUAAAAAGGUCUGAGGCAGCCCCUUUGAAUAUUAAUACGCAUUUAUUUUCACCUCUCAAAUAAAAAAAUAGUUCACAGUG
rnacentral:lncRNA from 1 species